rnacentral:rRNA from 1 species
UACGAAGGGGGCUAGCGUUGUUCGGAAUCACUGGGCGUAAAGAGCGCGUAGGCGGCCAUGCAAGUCAGGGGUGAAAUCCCGGGGCUUAACCCCGGAACUGCCUUUGAAACUGCGUGGCUAGAGUUCGGUAGAGGGUGGUGGAAUUCCUAGUGUAGAGGUGAAAUUCGUAGAUAUUAGGAGGAACACCGAUGGCGAAGGCAGCCACCUGGGCCGAGUCUGACGCUGAGGCGCGAAAGCGUGGGUAGCAAACAGG